rnacentral:rRNA from 1 species
GACGUAGGGCGCGAGCGUUGUCCGGAUUUAUUGGGCGUAAAGAGCUCGUAGGCGGCUUGUCGCGUCGACUGUGAAAACCCGCGGCUCAACUGCGGGCUUGCAGUCGAUACGGGCAGGCUAGAGUUCGGUAGGGGAGACUGGAAUUCCUGGUGUAGCGGUGAAAUGCGCAGAUAUCAGGAGGAACACCAAUGGCGAAGGCAGCUCGCUGGAACGGUACUGACGCUGAGGCGCGAAAGCGUGGGGAGCGAACAGG